AUAGCGUAUAUUAAAGUUGUUGCAGUUAAAAAGCUCGUAGUUGAACCUUGGGUCUGGCUGCUCGGUCCGCCUAACCGCGUGCACUGAUGCGGCCGGUCCUUUCCUUCUGGCUAACCUCAUGCUCUUAAUUGGGUGUGUUGGGGAUCCAGGACUUUUACUUUGAAAAAAUUAGAGUGUUCAAAGCAGGCCUAUGCUCGAAUACAUUAGCAUGGAAUAAUAGAAUAGGACGGCGGUUCUAUUUUGUUGGUUUCUAGAGCCACCGUAAUGAUUAAUAGGGAUAGUCGGGGGCAUCAGUAUUCAAUUGUCAGAGGUGAAAUUCUUGGAUUUAUUGAAGACUAACUACUG
rnacentral:rRNA from 1 species